rfam:Triticum urartu cultivar G1812 contig398710, whole genome shotgun sequence.
UAUCUAUUCCCUCCGUCCCAGAAUAAGUGUCGCUGAUUUAAUAUAAAGUUAUUACUAAAUCAGCGACACUUAUUCUGGGACGGAGGGAGUAUAUU